ensembl:lncRNA
GCCGCCCAGCCCGGAGCAGGAAGGGGUAGGACCUGCCUUGUGGGUGGCUUCUGCGCACAGGCUCCUCUCCAGACACGGUUCUCCUGGUGCACAAUGACAUCUCACUGCCUCUGUCUUGGCCUGACACCACUGGUUCUGCUCUGCUGCCUGCCCCUGGCGCACCCAGACCCAUGCGGCCUGAGCAUCGUGCCCAAGGACCUGGCGGUAGCGUUUGGGGGUGACGUGGUUCUGAACUGCACCAGCACGUGCUCCAGUCACACCAGCCUGGGCUGGGAGACGUCGGUGCCGAAGGUGACGAAGGAGGGAACCGGCUGGAUGUCUCUGCACAUCUCCAACCUCACAGAGUGGGACCUGAAGCCCCUGUGCUUUGUCAGCUCCACGGACAUCACCGAAAAAGCCAGGCUCCACGUGUACCGAUUCUCACCCCCUGAGAUCCACCUGGGAGCCGAGAUGGUGGCCGGUCACCAGGAGCGAAUCACCUGCAACGUCUCCAGCCUUGUGUCCGGUUCCAUCCCCUCCGACAUCAACGUCACCCUGAGCAGCAGGGGCAGCACCCUUAGCGAAAGCCGUGGCAGCCCGGCCGUGGGGUACAGCUUCGUGGCACAGCCCACGCAGCACGGGCAGGAGAUCGUGUGCCAGGCCUGGCUCCGCGUGGGCCACCAGGUGCUGAGUGACAGCGCCAGAGCCACCCUGCACGUCUGGGCCCCGCCCCACAACGUGAAGGUCUCCGUGGAGCGGCUGCAGUUCGGGGUCGGCGCUAACUUCACGGUGUGGUGCAGCGCCAAGGGGAACCCCCCACCCAAGCUGCGCUGGGAGCUGCCUUCCAACGCCAGCGUGGAGCUGUCUGACCGCGGCCAGAUGGUAACCGUGCGCUCGGCUCAGCGUGCCCACAAUGGGACCUACCGGUGCCUAGCACAGAACAGUUACGGGGCCAGCUCGGGGCACAUCGAUGUCCUCAUCGAAGUCUCCACAGUUCCCCCAAGGUCCUGGACCGUGAUAGUCGCAGUGGUGCUGGGGGUGAUUGUGGUUCUUGGCGGCGUAGCCCUGGGAGUGUGGUGGCUUGUGAGAAAAUGCUUCAUGACAUCUUAGCUGCGGUCCAGGACUGCCCCCCGCCCGCCCGCAGUGGGGAGGGCAACUCAGGGAAGGGGGAAGAACUGGGCAGUGAUGGGCCUGAAUCUUUGGGUGAGGACAAGGAGGAGCCCAGAGAUGUCUGACCCUGAAGCCCUCACCCCAGGGGACUGGUUCCUGGGGCGGGUGGGGUCACGGCCCUUUCCCUGAUGUGCCCCGGCUGGUGGGCUGGGACCGAGCAGAGGAGCCGAGCUGGGCCGCAGCUCUCCAGGGUGUCUAGUCCUGGUGCUUGUGUGCAUGUGUGUGUGCGUGUGCCUGUGUGCGUGCACAUGAGUGUGAAUGUGAGUGUGCAUAUGUGUGCAUAUACAAUCCUUUCUUCGGUGCCCUGGGACUGUUACAUUUACAGUGAGUCCAGUCCAGACGCCCAGGUAACCCCAUGCUCCCCCCCACCCAGUGGCUCUCAUUGGUUCCACUUGGUUCUGAGGGUCUCAAAUAAACUGACUGCCUGGGCACCUUCUGCUCUGUGUGUGAGGCUCGUGCGCCCCCCCCUUCUCCGGGAGCAGCCCCCCGCGGGCGUCCAUGGAGAUGUUAGCCGUUGGCGAGGCAAAGCUUGGAGCCUGUAUCAGCUCUGGGCAUUAGUCAUUGUUAAUGCUACUUAGUGUGACCCUUCUGCCCCUCUGAGUUGGCAGCACAAGGGCCGGGUUCAGUAUCCAGGGGUUCCGUUUCAAUAACACCAUGCAAAACCGGCUAAAGCCCCCACCCAGUGACCUGGGACACUCACAUACCGCCCCCCGGGCGCCUCUAGGAGGCAAUACUUCCCCCCUCACAAGCACGGAGUCUGAGUGUAGCAAAAUUCCUUUAAUAAAGGAAGGAAACAAUGUGGCAUCCCAUUGUAGAAACACCACAAACAGGAUUAUAACACAAACCAUAAGCAAAAACCCACCCCCAGGUACGUUCGGCAAUGUCCUUUUCCCCUUAGGGUCUUAAGUCCAAUCACCCCAAAGUCCAACAACCCGAAAGUCUCUGCUCAGUGCCACCCCAGAGUUCAAAAGUUUAUCUGCAGAGUUUUACCCCACCCCCAGCCUGGGUGGAAAGGGGGGGGGGAUUCCACACAGAGUGUUAAGGGGCACCUUACGUGGGCCAGGGGGGCCAACUGCUCCACCUCUCGGUGGAGUUCUGCUGCAGCCUUCCCCACGACCAGCUGCACCACACCAGCCGUCCCUGCUGAGCUGCUCUAAUAUGCUGCAAACUGCUCUGCUCUGCCAGCCGCUUAGCGAUAGAUCUUCAGGCUCCCGCACUAGUUAGCACAGCACUCAGUCAUCUCAGCUCAGCUCUUUCAGUGAUUUCAGCUCUUAGUAGGGGAGCCCUGGUGCUGGGGCACCAUUGGCCCAACAUGAAGUCAGCUCAGCAGUCUCUAGAUGGACUCCUAAUGGAAUCAAAAUUAGCUCUACUCUUUACCAGUGGAGAAAGGAGGAUAUGCAAUUGAUGUUCCAGGCCCUCACCGGCAGGCAGGCAGGGAGAGGGAGAUUGAUUGUGUGUGGGUGGGUGGGUGCGCAUGUGCACGCACACAAACCAGUCCCCAACCUCUCUCAAUUCACUAGGUUUUGGAACCCAUGUCCCUUGUUUAGCAAGUGUCACUUAAGUUAGUCUCGUAGUUCCUCGUUCACAUAAUCAGGUGGCAACACUGUAUUUAUCCUGCCCCAAUAACAAAGAAAUUGAGGAUCCCAGAGCUGUCAAAAUAACCAUCCCAGGCUGCAUUGGGCUAUGCUGGGCGUGCCCAUGCAAAUAUCUGAGAAUUCACACUUUUUCUGAAUUUUUUUCCACACUUCCCAUAAUUCACCACCAGAUGCCAGGGUAGAGCUCAUCCUGACUGCUUGCAUCAGUAUGGCCCACGGGCGUUAGAGGGGCCCAGCGGUGGGACAUGGGAGGUUGCUGGUUUGAAUCCAGCCCCAGCUCAUAACAUGUUUGUGUCCCUGGCUUGGAACGAGCUGGGGGGGGUGUGUGUGGGCACAGCUCAAUUCUUAACAGGGCAGAAACCUCCUGACGUUGAUGGGCCUAAAUCAUUAAAAGCCUAGAUUAAACCCAAGCACCACGAGCCAGAUCCAGGCUCAGCCCCUGCACCUCUGAGCAGCCGCUGCUGUUUCUUCCGCUUUGGGCAGGGGUGGCACCCACUGGCACCGGUCUACGUGGCACACCGAGAAAGGACCUGCCUCUCAGUCGCCCAUGCACCUGGAGAGGGCAAGACCCUCCCCAAACCGAACAGCGAUGGGCUGGAAAUCACGGGGAGGGACCUUGGGGAGUCCUCGAGCCCGCGGUGCAGAGGGGGCAGGGCAGGGAUCCCGUUUGGAUACAAGGCUUGCACGGUAGGUGCGGAUGAGUCAGUGUGACCGAGGGAGGGAGGGCAACGAGGUGUAAGCAGACGUUCUAAGGCAGCUGAGCUGUAUUCCUGCCCACACGCCCAACCGAAGCUCAGAGUCGGGUGAAAAUGACCCCGUCUGGGCCUGAGCCGGCUCUGCUUCUGGCUGCUGGCUGGUGAGUCUGACCGCUCAGGCAGGGUGGGGGCAGGAGCUGUUUGCUUCUUGCAGAGCUCUGGAGUAAAUCCAAGUCUCUUCCUAGCUGGCCAGAUGAACACAGGGAGGUGGGUGAAUCUCUGGGCGGCUGGGCUCAGAGAAGGGUAAUGUACCGAAUGAGGCAGACUCACUAGUAAUAAUUCCCUGAUAGCAGCGGUGUCUGAGGACAGGGCCGGCUUUAGGAAGUGCGGGGCCCAAUUCGAACAUUUUCGGCGGGGCCCUGGCAGGGAUGAUGACUUAAAAAAAAAAGUGGAAAAAAAAGCCUUCCAUUUCUUCCAUGUGUUAUUUACUUUUCAUAACUAUAUAAAUAAUAAAAGUAUAAAUUAUGUA